GCUAAAGUCGUUUGGCAUUUGAGCUAUGAAUGGAAUCUGCUCGCCUGUGUUCCUUGCAGUGAAAAAACCCUUUCCUGAAUAAUUAACUCAGCUGAAGAAGCUUAUAAAUUCUUCGUAAGGUCCUUUUUCCUUCUGAGUAGCAAGAAGAAAAUUUUCCACCCCUCACAAUUACAAUCUUGAUGAUGAAUGAGUGUCACGAAAUAUCUGGGAGCAGUGGAGAAUGUGGUGACAGCGUUUACGUAUGUGUCCCUUACUAUUGAUGUCCAAAGGUGACCAGAUUACUCACCCCUCUGCAGAUGAGCUCCAGACAUUACAUUCCAACAGGAGCCCGGAACCUGAUUUUCUUGACUUCCACUGGAUCACUGAUGGGCUCCCGGCACCUCAGGCAAUCAGAUUUCAGAAAUUACCACAGUCCCCAGGUCCAAUUAAUGGUUGGGCUCACACUUGCUCAGCAAUUCAGAGUGAAAGUGAUGGUGUAUCCAUAAAUCCCAAUGCAGCCUCCUGGAAACACAGAAGGGUUUGGAUUGGAAGGGACCUUGAAGACCAUCAAGUUCCAAACCCCUGGGAUUUGUCUUGGCCAAUCUGGGAUUUCUCAAGGUCAGAGGAAAGCUCCCAGGACAGCUCUACUUCUGCUGCAGAGACUGCUUGGAGACUCCUCUGAACUCAUCCAGAGUAUCAUAAAGCAAUGCCAAAAAUACAGAUAUUUUCCUAUAUGCCAUAUUAAUUGAAAUUAAGAAAAGCAGACCCAGUCCAUGAAAUCUCACACCUACUCCCCUCAAGUUCAAUGUAACAAGAGUGAAGUCAAGCAAAAGUAACUGCAGUUAAAUCUGCAUGCAGAAAUUCUCAAAAACAUCUCAAAAAAAAUCAACUAGCUGGAAGGAGUGACUUUAUCUAAAGGCUGCAGACAUCAGCAGUCUAGGGAGCUGAUCCCAGUAGGCAAAUAAUUCUUAAUAUGAAUGUUCAGGAAUAUUAGACACUAUUCAAAAUCUGUCCAGAAGCCGUGUCCAGUGAGUUGAUCCUGAAAUAUAAGUGCUUCUAUUUCGACCAUCCUCUUAGUGCUUUUUUUGCAUCAGUCUGCAUCAAUCACUGUGCACAAAAAUAUAUCCCAAGCAGAGAAAAACAGGCAAGAACAGAAACAUAGUCAAAUCUGCCUUUGCAGCCUCAGAUUUGUGGGACUUUUCGCAGUCUUUGGGUGUUGUAGCACCUUCUCUAAAAGACCCCACUAUUAGAACAAGUUUAUUAUGACUAUUGUUCCAAACAUCAAACAAUCAGCAAAAAUAUCUCCUCUUGCUCUUCAGCCUGAUCUCUCUUCUCCCACUGAAGCUGAUUUAGUGGCAAAUAUAGAGAGAAAUGGAGUGGAUUGGGGUUUGCAAGUGAUUGUCAAUUGGAUUUUGUGAGCCCGGCAGUAUCUCAAAGCAGGCUUCAAUUUUCCCUGAACCCCCUGCAGCUCCUAUUAGCCUCGAUAACUGCUUCUAAUUUUGGCCAGGACAUUUGCCCAGAUUUGUGAAGGAAGGGGGGCCAGGGAGGUGUCUUUCCCUGGUGCAGAGAGACUCCCACCUCCAUGGAGACAAUGUGGGCUGGGUAAUGACUUAAUUACAGCGAGAAUUCCUGCCCUGUCCAGCCAGGCUCUGACGCAUGUUACGUAACUGGAUUGUUAAUGCUUUUUAUAUGUUGCCUGAACUGAAAUUAAAA
rnacentral:lncRNA from 12 species